rnacentral:rRNA from 1 species
UACAGAGGUCUCAAGCGUUGUUCGGAUUCAUUGGGCGUAAAGGGUGCGUAGGCGGCGCGGUAAGUCGGGUGUGAAAUCUCGGAGCUUAACUCCGAAACUGCAUUCGAUACUGCCGUGCUUGAGGACUGGAGAGGAGACUGGAAUUUACGGUGUAGCGGUGAAAUGCGUAGAUAUGCGGAGGAACACCGAUGGCAAAGGCAGUCCCCUGGGCCUGUACUGACGCUCAUGCACGAAAGCGUGGGGAGCAAACAGG